rfam:Collinsella sp. CAG:398 genomic scaffold, scf34
CGCAGGUGCCUAGGGGAAUCGGGGUGAAAGUCCCCGGCUAUACCAGUAACCGUAACUCUCGCAGCGCGAAUCGCCGCGCGCGGACAAGUCGGAUCGCCUCUCCAUCG